CGCGGGAUGGAGCAGUCUGGUAGCUCGUCGGGCUCAUAACCCGGAGGUCGCUGGUUCAAAUCCGGCUCCCGCAACCA
rnacentral:tRNA from 2 species